rnacentral:piRNA from 1 species
UAGAACUGUUGCUAGAGGUA